rnacentral:tRNA from 1 species
ACCUUCGUGGUGUAACGGUUAGUACACUCGGCGCGUAUUCGAGAGGUCCAGGGUUCGAGUCCCGGCGAGGGUA